UACGGGGGGGGCAAGCGUUGUUCGGAAUUACUGGGCGUAAAGGGCUCGUAGGUGGCCAACUAAGUCGGACGUGAAAUCCCUCGGCUUAACCGGGGAACUGCGUCCGAUACUGGUUGGCUUGAGUUUGGGAGAGGGAUGCGGAAUUCCAGGUGUAGCGGUGAAAUGCGUAGAUAUCGGGAGGAACACCUGUGGCGAAAGCGGCGCACUGGACCACAACUGACGCUGAGGCGCGAAAGCUAGGGGAGCAAACAGG
rnacentral:rRNA from 1 species